rnacentral:rRNA from 1 species
UACGAAGGGGGCUAGCGUUGCUCGGAAUCACUGGGCGUAAAGGGUGCGUAGGCGGGUUUUUAAGUCAGGGGUGAAAUCCUGGAGCUCAACUCCAGAACUGCCUUUGAUACUGAAGAUCUUGAGUUCGGGAGAGGUGAGUGGAACUGCGAGUGUAGAGGUGAAAUUCGUAGAUAUUCGCAAGAACACCAGUGGCGAAGGUGGCUCACUGGCCCGGUACUGACGCUGAGGUGCGAAAGCGUGGGUAGCAAACAGG